UGUCACCCUGAAGUACAAGCAGAAUUAUGAUCCUGCCUACUUGCCAGUAAGCCCAAUAAGCAUUUAUUUAACUUCAGAUCUUUUCAGUUAUAGGCCACCCUAGGGUCCCCAGUGGACCUAGUGGCUCUCAGACUAGUAACUAAUCUCCCCUCUAACAAGGUACCCUAGACAGCCAGCUUGCCUGGCUUUGUUCAGUGCCCUCGAUGCAUCGUUCUCUUUUUCCCUCUAUCCAAGUAGAAGUUUUAGUGUAGAGGUCAGGUAGAUGAUUUUUGUGCUAAGGACAGGGCCGAGGGUGAUUUGAAAGUGAAAUAAAACGUAACCAAAGCCCUCCAGAUUAAAGGGGAGCUCUUUCCAGUCGGCGCCGAGCUAUGGGCAUCUCUCGGGACAACUGGCACAAGCGCCGCAAAACUGGGGGCAAGAGAAAGCCCUACCACAAGAAGCGAAAAUAUGAGCUGGGACGCCCUGCUGCCAACACUAAGAUUGGACCCCACCGCAUGCACACAGUUCGAGUGUGGGGAGGCAACAAGAAGUACCGAGCCUUGAGGUUGGAUGUGGGCAACUUCUCCUGGGGCUCAGAGUGUUGCACGUGCAAAAUGAGGAUUAUUGAUGUUGUCUACAACGCAUCCAACAACGAACUGGUCCGCACUAAGACCCUAGUAAAGAACUGCAUUGUGCUCAUUGACAACACCAUACUGACAGUGGUACGAGUCCCACUAUGCACUGCCCCUGGGCCGCAAGAAGGGGGCCAAGCUGACUCCUGAGGAGGAAGAGAUUUUAAACAAAAAACGAUCAAAGAAAAUUCAGAAGAAAUAUGAUGAAAGGAAAAAGAAUGCCAAAAUCAGCAGUCUUCUAGAGGAGCAGUUCCAGCAGGGUAAGCUUCUUGCACGCAUCGCUUCAAGACCAGGCCAGUGUGGCCGAGCAGAUGGCUAUGUGCUUGAGGGCAAGGAGCUGGAGUUCUAUCUGAGGAAAAUCAAGGCCCGGAAAGGCAAAUAAAUCCUCUUUCCUUCUGUCCUAGCUCAUGUAAUAAAGGUGUUUAAUCUGGAAAAAAAAAAAAAAA